UACAUGUGGGGCAAGCGUUGUUCGGAAUUACUGGGCAUAAAGGGUGCGUAGGCGGCUUGUUAAGUCAGGGGUGAAAGUUUUCGGCCCAACCGGAAAAUUGCCUUUGAUACUGGCGAGCUGGAGUGCGUGAGGGGUGACCGGAACGAGUGGUGCAGCGGUGAAAUGCGUAGAUAUCACUCGGAAGGCCAACGGCGAAGGCAGGUCACUGGUGCGCAACUGACGCUGAGGCACGAAAGCGUGGGGAGCAAACAGG
rnacentral:rRNA from 1 species